rnacentral:rRNA from 1 species
UAUGUGAUCGUCUCUCGCAUAUCAAUAAGCGGAGGAAAAGAAACUAACAAGGAUUCCCUUAGUAACGGCGAGUGAAGCGGGAAGAGCUCAAAUUUGAAAUCUUCAAGGUUUUACCUUGACGAAUUGUAGUUUAAAGAAGUGUUUUCUGUUGAAGUUUUGGUAAAAGUUCUUUGGAAUAGGACAUCAUAGAGGGUGAGAAUCCCGUAUUUGACCAUUAUUUUCAGCUGUGUGAUACACUUUCAAAGAGUCGGAUUGUUUGGGAAUGCAGUCCAAAAUGGGUGGUAAAUUUCAUCUAAAGCUAAAUAUUGGCGAGAGACCGAUAGCGAACAAGUACCGUGAGGGAAAGAUGAAAAGAACUUUGAAAAGAGAGUUAAACAGUACGUGAAAUUGUCAAAAGGGAAGCGUUUGACACCAGUGUUGUUUUCCUCGAAAAUCAAUUAAAAAGAGUUAGAUUUUGUUGUGUAUUGACCUUAACAGCUUGCAUUUCAAUUUUCUUGCUUUUUUUAAUGCACUUUUCGUUUAACAAGUCAACAUCAGUUUCUUUUGUUGUAAAAAGGUCAUUGGAAGGUGGCUAUUCUUUCCGGAGAAAGUGUUUAUAGCCUUUGACUCCUGCAAUCGGAGAGACUGAGGUCUGCAGCGUAGAUCCUUCGGGGUUAGAUACAUUUGUGCUAAGUUAUAGCUUUUUAUAGACAACUUGUUGACUAUGAUUAGUCUUGUAGCUUACUCGCUUAUGCUAUUUUACCUACGCUUAGGAUGUUGAAGAUGUAGCACAUCAU